GACGAACGCUGGCGGCGUGCUUAACACAUGCAAGUCGAACGGAAAGGCCCUGCUUUUGUUGGGUGCUCGAGUGGCGAACGGGUGAGUAACACGUGAGUAACCUGCCCUUUACUUUGGGAUAACUUCAGGAAACUUGGGCUAAUACCGGAUAGGAGCUCCUGCUGCAUGGUGUGGGUUGGAAAGUUUCGGCGGUUGGGGAUUGACUCGCGGCUUAUCAGCUUGUUGGUGGGGUAGUGGCUUACCAAGGCUUUGACGGGUAGCCGGCCUGAGAGGGUGACCGGCGACAUUGGGACUGAGAUACGGCACAGACUGCUACGGGAGGCAGCAGUGGGGAAUAUUGCACAAUGGGCGGAAGCCUGAUGCAGCAACGCCGCGUGCGGGAUGACGGCCUUCGGGUUGUAAACCGCUUUCGACUGUGACGAAGCGUGAGUGACGGUAAUGGGUAAAGAAGCACCGGCUAACUACGUG
rnacentral:rRNA from 1 species